CGUGGUAGGGGAGCGUUCUGUAGGUCUGUGAAGGUGUCUCGUAAGGGAUGCUGGAGAUAUCAGAAGUGCGAAUGCUGACAUGAGUAGCGAUAAAGCGGGUGAAAAGCCCGCUCGCCGAAAGCCCAAGGUUUCCUACGCAACGUUCAUCGGCGUAGGGUGAGUCGGCCCCUAAGGCGAGGCUGAAAAGCGUAGUCGAUGGGAAACGGGUUAAAAUUCCCGUACUUUUGUGUAGUGCGAUGUGGGGACGGAGAAGGUUAGGUCAUCAGACUGUUGGAAUAGUCUGUUUAAGCCGGUAGGUGUGAGGGGUAGGCAAAUCCGCCCUUCUUUAACACCGAGACGUGAUGACGAGGGUCUACGGACCUGAAGUGACUGAUACCACGCUUCCAGGAAAAGCCACUAAGCUUCAGCUACACAAGAACCGUACCGCAAACCGACACAGGUGGGCAGGAUGAGAAUUCUAAGGCGCUUGAGAGAACUCAGGAGAAGGAACUCGGCAAAUUGAUACCGUAACUUCGGGAGAAGGUAUGCCU
rnacentral:rRNA from 2 species